AGAGUUUGAUCCUGGCUCAGAGUGAACGCUGGCGGCGUGCCUAAUACAUGCAAGUCGAACGAUGAAGCUCUAGCUUGCUAGAGUGGAUUAGUGGCGCACGGGUGAGUAAUGCAUAGAUAACAUGCCCUUUAGUCUAGGAUAGCCAUUGGAAACGAUGAUUAAUACUGGAUACUCCUUACGAGGGAAAGUUUUUCGCUAAAGGAUUGGUCUAUGUCCUAUCAGCUUGUUGGUGAGGUAAUGGCUCACCAAGGCUAUGACGGGUAUCCGGCCUGAGAGGGUGAACGGACACACUGGAACUGAGACACGGUCCAGACUCCUACGGGAGGCAGCAGUAGGGAAUAUUGCUCAAUGGGGGAAACCCUGAAGCAGCAACGCCGCGUGGAGGAUGAAGGUUUUCGGAUUGUAAACUCCUUUUGUUAGAGAAGAUAAUGACGGUAUCUAACGAAUAAGCACCGGCUAACUCCGUG
rnacentral:rRNA from 1 species